UCUGGGAAUCGAAAGCAAAAAUAUUUUGUGUUGGUUACUGUGAAAGACAGCUGUUUUGAGCUGUUAAGAGGUGACACGUGGGAGUGUUGGAUGAAUGUUUGGUGAGGUUAUUGUGGCUUUGAAAAUAAAGAGAAAAAAAAGGGUUUGUGGGGAUGGCACAAGGGAAGACUGGGAGCGGCAGCAUCAUUGAGGGGGAUGGUGGGUUUGUUGCAGAGAGCUUUUCUCUGUGUUGCCAGUGCAUCUGCUCUGUUCCAUCUGGCCCUUCUUUCUUUCUUUCUUUUUUUAAAUUUAUAUUUUGAAUCCCAUGCUUUUGUGCGUUUGAUUUGGACGCAACUUGUUUGUCCUUUUUUUUCCUUCAUUGAUACUGAAAAACAAACAAGUUCCUAAGUUGUCUCCUUGUAAUAUAUAUAUAUAUAUAUAUAUUCUUAACAUGAUGCUGUGGGCAAUACACCCAACAAGAACAAUGUAUUCUCGUUGCCAUCAAUUAUGGUAUUCUUAGCUUUUUGCAUGGAGAUUUUGUGUAUUGACACGAUGGGAUGUACGAAGCUAGUUAUUUAAUUAAUAGAAGCCGUUCUGGUCAGAAAGGAGCACCGACGGGACAAGAGGGCCAUGACUAAAAGAAGGCACCUACACAGGUGGCUGUGAGGAGUGAGGCCCGAAGGCAACUAAUAACGGAUAAGCAGCGGGGGAGCUGAAAGGAAGACAAGCUCUCCACCACAAAAACAUCCUUGAAGUCCGCAGGACAAGAAUGUCUCGUCCUAACAGGCUCCCCACAGAUCAAUGGCUCUCACCAUCAUCAGUACAUCAUAAAUUAUCUUAAAAUUCUCUCUCUCAGGUCCUCCCUCUCUGUAAACGAACAAUAUAUCUACGUGGAUGCUUGAUAUCACAUUAUGGGUUUCGUGUUUACGUGCACAGGUAGGAGUACAAAAGAGUCGUGGAAUGUUCUUUCUGUAGAAGAGGCCUUCCUUUUCUUGUUAAGCUGAGCAGUCGUCAGCGUCUUCAGCUUCUCAUUCUCAAGUUAGAUCUGGGAGACGCGAAUUGAUUGCUGCGAGUGUCAUUGCUCCGUGGGUAUCCAUGGUUAACCAUACUUUUCCAUCGUGUAAGCAACCUUUUUUCGAUGUUUUUGUUCUGAUUAGCUAAUGCAGUUCAGCAAAGAAAUAAACUUAUAGCUUAGAAUCAACUUUGUCAGUCCCUCGGGAUAUUAUGAUUGCUGAUAUCCUAAGAGGACAUCCUUGAUAUGGUUCCGUUGCUGCAGAAACUAAAAAGGGAUUUCUGCUAGUCACGGACAAGAGGAUGGAUACUCAUUUCUCUUCCCAUUUGGGUGGCAGCCACACACAACAAAGACUUGAUACAACGUUUUCAGAACGGUUCUUCAUAUUUCCCGUUGUCUGUGGCAGGAAGUUGUCAUUGAAGGUCAAGACAAGGUAUUUAAAGAUGUCGUUGAGCCAUUAGAAAGUGUUAGUGUGAACAUGAGCCCUACCGUCAAACAGGAUCUUCGAGACAUUGGUCCUCACAACAGGUUUUCCAUGUAUACUUUACCACCCAAUUUUUUUCAUCACAGAGGCGAUAGCAUUAUUUUCCUUAAUGCCCUUUCGCCAGUUUAUAAUUUGAGUUUAUAUCUCUAAGUGAUGGAAGAUGCUAAUGCUUGUUAUGCAUUUAUCCCACGUUGCUGAAACGUUGAUCAAAAAAGUUCAAGCCCCUCCUUCACGGAAAACAAAACUAGUCGAGGCA